UGAAGAGGAAGCUCUAUUGGGAGAGCUGAAUAAUGAGCUUCCAGACCCUACAUUGCUUAACUUACGCAUAAUAGAUAACACAGGUGCUUUUGUACAUAAUUUAAAGAUACCAUCUCCCGUAGCAGAAAGACUCGACAAAGCUGAAAUUGAUAGCCUAACCAAAUUUUGUUCUCAGAAGAUUCACAAGAGAUAUAAUGUUAUAGUAACAACCAACAGCACUAUUAACAGGGAAGAGUUGUUAUAUGUGCUUCGUGGUGGCCGCCUUGACGACAAGGUGGAAGAAGCAGUUUUGAACACGAUUAGCCAGGAGGCAUACGACAAAGGAUAUGGAGUGGUAUCGGUGUUCUUUCUUGUAAGAC